rnacentral:rRNA from 1 species
UACGUAGGUGACCAGCGUUGUCCGGAUUUACUGGGCGUAAAGAGCGCGCAGGCGGUCGUUCAAGUCGAGUGUGAAAGCCCCCGGCUCAACUGGGGAGGGUCAUUCGAUACUGAUCGACUUGAAGGCAGGAGAGGGAAGUGGAAUUCCCGGUGUAGUGGUGAAAUGCGUAGAUAUCGGGAGGGAAACACCAGUGGCGAAGGCGGACUUCCUGGCCUGUUCUUGACGCUGAGGCGCGAAAGCUAGGGGAGCAAACGGG